CAGGUCUUGACAUCCUCUGACAAUCCUAGAGAUAGGACUUUCCCCUUCGGGGGACAGAGUGACAGGUGGUGCAUGGUUGUCGUCAGCUCGUGUCGUGAGAUGUUGGGUUAAGUCCCGCAACGAGCGCAACCCUUGUCCUUAGUUGCCAGCAUUAAGUUGGGCACUCUAAGGAGACUGCCGGUGACAAACCGGAGGAAGGUGGGGAUGACGUCAAAUCAUCAUGCCCCUUAUGACCUGGGCUACACACGUGCUACAAUGGAUGGUACAAAGGGCUGCAAGACCGCGAGGUUUAGCCAAUCCCAUAAAACCAUUCUCAGUUCGGAUUGUAGGCUGCAACUCGCCUACAUGAAGCCGGAAUCGCUAGUAAUCGUGGAUCAGCAUGCCACGGUGAAUACGUUCCC
rnacentral:rRNA from 1 species